CAGUAGGUAGUUUUAAUCCACUGGCGUAUUCACUACCUACAUGAUACUUGGUAAAAGUCGCGUUUUCCAGAUUGAAAGUGCUGUGUUUAUAAAUAUAUACAAGUGAUUUAAAAUAUAUGAAAAAUGUCUGAUGACAAUGCAAAAGAUGAUGGUAAAGACCUCAGCACGCUAAAAAGACACCGUAAUGUCUAUAAACAGAGAUUUAUAUUCUUCAAAACGGAAUAUUUGGACAAGUUGCCGCAUGUUUUGCCGAAUAACCAGAUAAUGUUGCUAAGAGAUAGGUUUAACAUACUCAAGGAAUUGUACUUUGUUGAGUUUGAUAAUUUACAGUUAAUGAUAGAAAUGAAGGAGUAUGAAACUGAGGAAUUGAUUUUGCAGAACGCUAGAGAAAGAUCGGAAAAUGACAAUUAUUUUCAUGCCAUUUCAUUGAUGGUUUUAGAUUUAAUUGAGAGGUCUGAACUGGCUAUAAUGAACAGUAUUAUGUAGCGCUGUCUUCACAUUUUUCAAUAUACGCCAUUUUGUAUUGUCGACAGUUGGCAAGAAGCACGAAUCCGAGGGGACAGGCCGAGAACUGCGUGAUGAUUUUCUUCGGAACGCCCGAACUCAACGUGCAAUCACGAAUGAAGUACUGGAUUUGGACCCUCCUACUACAUCUUGGCAACUUCGUUCGUAACACUCCCGAUGUAUCGCGCGGGGCGGGUGGCGUGUAGCGAUGA
rnacentral:lncRNA from 1 species